AUUGAACGCUGGCGGCAGGCCUAACACAUGCAAGUCGAGCGGAGCGGCGGACGGAUGAGUAAUGCCUAGGAAUCUGCCUGGUAGUGGGGGAUAACGUCCGGAAACAGGCGCUAAUACAGCAUACUCUCAGAUGAGCCAAGGUCGGAUUAGCUAGUUGGUGGGGUAAAGGCCUACAUAGGCGACGAUCCGUAACUGGUCUGAGAGGAUGAUCAGUCACACGGGAACUGAGACACGGUCCAGACGCCUACGGGAGGCAGCAGUGGGGAAUAUUGGACAAGGGGCGAAAGCCUGAUCCAGCCAGGCCGCGUGUGUGAAGAAGGUCUUCGGAUUGUAAAGCACUUUAAGUUGGGAGGCGUUACCAACAGAAGAAGCACCGGCUAACUUCGUGCCAGCAGCCGCGGUAAUAC
rnacentral:rRNA from 1 species